AACGAACGCUGGCGGCGCGCCUAAUACAUGCAAGUCGAGCGAGAAGGUGUAGCAAUACACUUGUAAAGCGGCGAACGGGUGAGGAAUGCAUGGGUAACCUACCCUCGAGUGGGGAAUAACUAGCCGAAAGGUUAGCUAAUACCGCAUACGUUUCCGGAACUUCGGUUUCGGAAAGAAAGCAAUACCGUGGGUAUUGCGCUCCUGGAUGGGCUCAUGUCCUAUCAGCUUGUUGGUGAGGUAACGGCUCACCAAGGCUUCGACGGGUAGCUGGUCUGAGAGGACGAUCAGCCACGCUGGCACUGCGACACGGGCCAGACUCCUACGGAGGCAGCAGUAAGGAAUAUUGCGCAAUGGACGAAAGUCUGACGCAGCGACGCCGCGUGGGGGAUGAAGGUCUUCGGAUUGUAAACCCCUUUCGGGAGGGAAGAGUGGAGUGGGUAACGUACUU
rnacentral:rRNA from 1 species